UACGGGGGGGGCAAGCGUUGUUCGGAAUUACUGGGCGUAAAGGGUCUGUAGGUGGCCAACUAAGUCGGACGUGAAAUCCCCAGGCUCAACCUGGGAACUGCGUCCGAUACUGGAUGGCUUGAAUCCGGGAGAGGGAUGCAGAAUUCCAGGUGUAGCGGUGAAAUGCGUAGAUAUCUGGAGGAAUACCGGUGGCGAAGGCGGCAUCCUGGACCGGCAUUGACGCUGAGGAGCGAAAGCCAGGGGAGCAAACGGG
rnacentral:rRNA from 1 species